UCCCACUGUGAUGCAGCAGGAUCAGCAGUUUCUCGGCAGUGCCCAGGCCACAGGUUCAAUCCCUGGCCCUGUCAUAGUGAGUGAAGGGAUCCAGCGUUGUGGCGAAGGUCACGACUGCAGCUCCGAUCUGAACUCCAUAUGCCACAGCCAAUAAAGAAAAAUAAAUACAAAUGUUUAAAGAAUACGAUUUGGAGCUUUGGUCACAGUUUCAUAAGGGUCUCUGAUCCGAAACAACGCAAGAACACGUGUUGCCGUUCGGAGUGUGAAUCACCACUGUACUGUAUUCUAGGCAGCAGUCUGGUCUUAUUCAUCUCUGCUUGCCCAGCCUCUAAUUGUGCCAAGUGCUCCAGAGGUACUUGAUGGACGACUAACUGCGUUUGCAGGAAAGCGUUCUCGGGGUACUGGAAACUGCGGUCACCAUGCUAUACGAGGAAGAGUGACGUUCGAGAAACGGGAAAGGCCAUCUUUGCCCACCUGCCACGUGAUAAAUCCCGAGCCUCCAUACACGAGAGUGCUGUCCCCGCCGAUCCUGCUCUCCCGCUUCAGCAGCUCCUGCCCUUCCCUCUGUGACAGUGACACGGGGGAGGGUGCGAAUGAUGUGACGGCUGCUGUGUGGCGAUCAGGUGCAUUUGGAGAAGGACAGGAAAGAAGAUGCAAAAGUGACUCCAGGUCUGCCAAGCUGGCCUGUGCUAUAGCUGGAGAGCAUGUGAUCAUCGCAGAUCGAGGGAUAAUCCGGAAGAGUGAGAAAGCUGAGCACCCUCCAGCCCAUACAAACCAGACUACAGCCCAGGCUGGGCACACCGGAGAUCCAGGGACCAACCCGCACAUUGACAUGUGGCAACCAGAGAGGUUCAGGUCCAAGAGGACCAGCUAGAGGGAUCUUGAACUCACCGCCUCCUGCGGACAGACCAGAUCUACAGCCACAUAUGGAAGAAACCUCAAAACUUUAGCUGAGCAACUCCAACAGGACGGAUGAACAAGAAAAAACCCACCUCAUGAUGGGUAGGAGAGGCUGAGACACAAUCUCAGAAUAAACCACACCCCAAGCCACGCA
rnacentral:lncRNA from 1 species